UUUCCAAGGUUAAAUCAAUUUAUUUUUGAUCUAAUGUCGAAUUCCUUUCAAUUUUUUGAAUCGCCGCAAAAAAAUCGAAUUUUUUGUGUUAAAAAAGAACAUGAAAACAGAGCGAAUUCUUUUUGCGAUUGUAUGUGUGUCAUUUGACAACAAUUUUUACACGAACGGCAAGCUGAAACCAAAACAAUUUCUGCAAAAUAAAACCAGAGAUUCCUUUGAUCAAUAAUUUUGUUGAUUUUCUUGGGUAAUAUAAAUUUAUUUUAAUCAGAAUCAAACGGAAAUUGCAGUUAUUAUUAAGAUCUGAGUGAAGAUGAAGUAGAAGGUUAUUAUUUUGGCCGUAUGCUGUGGUUUUACGAGAAGAAGUCACAGUAAUUUGACUUUUUCACAAGAACUAUACCAGAAAAAAAUAUAUUUUGAUCGCACAUUGUUCUUUUUUAUUUAUUUCAUAUUUUUCCGCAAUAAAAAUACGAUAUUCAAUUAAAAUGUACUCUUUAUUUGAAGUUGGUGUUCUCAAAUAAACAAACAACACGAAGAAAACUUUCAGCUUUACGUUUGAGAAAUGUCAAAUGUUCCAAGCGUGUGUGCAAAUCCUUGUGAACCUCUCAAAAAAGAAGAAUUAAAAAAAAAUUCGAAUUCUGCUUCGUUUGAGGCGAAUUUUUUUUCUAUGGAACAUGAUUUUCAGAAAAAAUUCGCAUCGAGAUCGUCGAAAAUUCGAUUUUUCAAUUGAAAAGAAUUCAACAUGAGUCUGUCGUCUAUUUUUGCAUUCCAUGGAGCAAAAUAAAUUGAUUUAUUUUUGAUUUAAGAUCAAAUCUGCAGAUAAACCCCUUUUUGCACUAUCACUUAUACAACUUCCAGCUGCAGUUUCAUAGAAACAAGUUUUUCUUUUAGUUUUUAAUUUAUUUUGGUCGAAAAGAGUUUCCUUUUAUCUAUGCUAUUAAACAAAUAAAUUUAGAAUUUGCUUUUAUUUAUGCUAGUAAACAAAUAAAUUUUACAAAAAUGGAAGCAUUUUUAAACGAAUUGGAAGAUUCAUAAUGAAAUGGAAUUCAUUUCUAGGAGCUCUUUUUUUUUAAAUAUUUACGUUUUCCACAUUUUGGGGGUAAUUUCGUACUAAUCUUAAAGCUAUGGUUAUUUUACCUGUUUGUUAGCUUUUUAUAGAAAAAUUUUUUUGUCGAACCUAAUGCAUUUGGGUUCAGUAAGCCUAAAAAUCAUACUGGUUGCUUUCUAGGAACUCUAGUUUUUUAGAUAUUUUCAUUUUUCAUAUAAAUCAUUCUCUACGCCUGUUAUCACUGUUUUCUUCAAGGAAAUGAGCCAUAUUUGUCGUUACACGCACACAAUUACCAAACAAAAUUACUCUCAUUUAUGUUCCUUCACUCCAAAAAAAGGUGUAAAUCCGGAGUAGACUCCCAAGUGGAGUGAAAGAAAACGGCAUAUGUGAAAAAAAUAUAACUGAAGGCUACAUUUACAUUUCUCACAAAAUUUUAAUUUUUUUUAAACAAAUUUGUUUGUUGAGUUUAGUUUAUUUCGCCAUAUCUUGUUACGAGUGAGUAUAAAACUAAAUCAACGUGGGAGUCGUAUCCUUGCCUAGGCACCGUCUCUAAAUUUGUUCAGAUAAGUUUUUAUAAAUUGAAUAUUUAUAUUGGACUUGAUAUUUUGUGGCUUUUUUUUUCUUUUUAUAUUUUCAGCUAACUCUGAUGUAUUUCUUUGCAAUUGAAAACACCAAAAGAUUACACCAUCGCGAAAUCCGACUUCACAUAUAGAAGUAACGGACGAAAAUUCCUUGCAAAAUAACGAUGAAACGUUUGUCCUAUUCUGGCAACGAUGAAACACUUCUUGUCCUAUUGCUUCAACUGGCUUCGACGAAAAUUUACGAGCCUAUUCAUAUUUCAUUUUUUGAUCGUGGGAAAACUGGAAAUAUGAAAUGGAUAAUUGCCAGGCUUGAAGAAUUUGAAUGGAUUCGUUUGUGGUUUGACAAUUCUUCAAUGGCUCUACCCCUGAGAUGUUUUUCCAUGGUGUUGGCUACAGAGUACCAGUGAGUCAGCUUUCAUAAACUAUCAAUGAAAUGAGGAAGAAUCUAUUUUAUAUGAUUGAAGGCCGAAGAAUGAUCCACACACAAAAAAAUUUAAAUAGUGGCCACCAAGAGACGGUUUUCCAUUUGGUUCCUUGAGUUAUAAAUCAAAUGAAUUGGAAGGCCAUCGAGAUCGGGAACGAUCAACGAGCACUCAGCAAACUUCAUCCCCACACUU